CAAAGAACUGAGAGGGAGAAAACGGAAUCGCUUCUCUACCUCCCCCUCUCAUUGUAAGCUUUCUUUCUCUCUCCACCUUCUUUGCUUCAACUUAGCACAGAAGAGAGAGAACUAGGAAGUAAGACGCUUGUCCAAUCUAUCUGUUCGGCCACCAUAUAUUCAUGUUAGCAAUCUGUGAACCUCUCUUUUCCUUUGUGCACGGUCGGGUUUGAGUUUGCUCCCAUAAUUUUUGUUGCUAUUUUUUUUUUUUUUUUUGUGGUUGGUGGUGCCGUUAUUGUUGAAGAUGAUGGUUGCAAACAUCUUCGAUCUGUGGCAAAAGGACGCCUUCUUUUCUGCCGCCGAGGAGGUUCAAGAAUCUGCUGAUGUAAUGGAAUCAGCAUACAGGACAUGGGUAAGAGAGAGGCGAGAAAUGCUAUCACCAGAGGAUUCGGAUAAACUCUGUACAGAGUUGCAAACUGCUUUAGGUACUUCCAAAUGGCAGUUAGAAGAAUUUGAGAGGGCUGUCAGGUUGAGCUAUGGGCUUCGUGGUGAUGACAAUACAACAGCGAGGCAUAGACAAUUUAUUGCUGUCAUCCAAGACCAAAUAUCACGUGUUGAAGCAUCAUUAAAGGAAUAUUUUAAUGAGGAAGGAAAGACCUUUCAAUGGGUGAAUCUGGAUGAAAAUGAACGUGAUGAGUUAGCCACGUUUCUCUCCGGCACCUCCCAAAGCUUGCAAAGCGCAAUUGAUGAAUGUCUACAGCACAAACAUUCAAUGGAAAGCUCUCUUUUGGAGAACCAUGCUCAGAGAAAAGAUGCAGACCUUAAUUUGAAUGCUUCCUGUAACAGAGGUUUUUCUGAUAGAGGGAAAGGUUCUAGAGAUGUUAGAAGUAUUAGUAAGGAUGGAAAUCAUGUCACAAAGAUAGAAGCAAAUCAAAUUCAUGGAAGGACCGAUGAUAUCAUUUUUCAAGCAGAUAGAACAACUAAUAAUGCAAGGAGGACAUGGAGUUUGCCAAAUUUUGGUGAAUUGAAAAUCAUAAUUCCUGAUGAAGAAGAACCGAUGAACAAACUAAUGCCAAGCAUUGAGGACACACCUAAAGUAAAAGGCUCCAGAUCUGUCUUUUGGAAGCAAAGCGGUAGGAAGUUUCCUCCGGGGCCGGGAGCGGUUAAUUUUUUCAGUCAGCUCUUUGGUUGGGUUGGUGGGUUCCAGAGACAAUUGCAAAGUCCACUAUACUUAUCGCUCCGUUCUUCUGUUCAAGUUACACUUGUUUUGAUGCUGACUAUUUUUUUUAUUGUACCUUUUGUAUUUUAUUCAGCUUGAUCGAGUGGGAUUUUAUGACACGCCAUCAAGACAAUAGGCAUUGAAGCUGUUAAUAAAGCAAGGGAAGUUUGAAAGGCCGGUGCUGCGUUUGGAUGUUGAACUGAGUUGAAUUGAGUUGAGAUGAUAAAAUAUUGUUAGAAUAUUA